rnacentral:rRNA from 1 species
CUUGGUCAUUUAGAGGAAGUAAAAGUCGUAACAAGGUUUCCGUAGGUGAACCUGCGGAAGGAUCAUUAAAAUAAUAAUGAAUGUCGGGGGGGAGGGUGCUUCGGUGCUUUUCCCUCCGUGUAUUCAACCAAACCCGCUCGUGUAUUUGGAUCAACCAAAAAAAUCAAAUAAAAUUUUCUAACGAUAAUAAUUAAACAAACUUUCAACAACGGAUCUCUUGGCUCUCGCAUCGAUGAAGAACGCAGCGAAAUGCGAUAAGUAGUGUGAAUUGCAGAACUUUGUGAACCAUCGAAUCUUUGAACGCAAAUUGCGCCUUCUUUCGGAAGGCAUGUCUGUUUGAGGGCACCAUUUAACAAAUAAUGUGCGGGUCGCUAUGCGGCGUGCACACGUUGAUGAGCUUUUCCGAAAAAACCAGGUUUUUUCGGUGGCGCAUAAUGAACAGCGUGGGCUUUUUCUUUCGAUUCUCGUGUAGUAAGUAAAUUUCAACGCUUGGGUUGAGAAAAAGUGCGUGCCGCGCAAUGGGUGUGGCGAAUUUACCCCUGCCCCAAUACCACUCUUUCCCUGCGAAAGAACAUUUUUUUAUUCAGGGCCUCAAAUCAGACAAGAGUACCCGCUGAACUUAAGCAUAUCAAUAAGCGGAGGA